ensembl:rRNA 5S_rRNA 5S ribosomal RNA
GUCUAUGGCCAUACCACCCUGAAUGAGCCCAAUCUCAUCUGAUCUUGGAAGCUAAGCAGGGUCAGGCCUGGUUUGUACUUGGAUGGUAGUAAAUAUAGUGUUCACCUAAAAAAACUACAGUGCUGAAGUAA